rnacentral:lncRNA from 1 species
AUUUAAUUUAGGAUUUUUGUUUUGUUUUACAAUUCACAUGGAAAAAUACAGACAGAUCAUUCUCAAGAAUGCCUAUACCCAAAGAACCUGAAAGAGAUCUCUGUAGAAGGAAGCCAAAGGAUAGGCUUAUGUUUAAAUAGCUAGAUUCAGUCCUUCACUUCCAUAAAGGAAUGUUAAAAUACUAACCUAUGAUACUAUAUAUCGGAGAGAAAACAGCAUGGUCUUUGAAAAUAUUUAUGAGAAUAUAACUUGUGGCAAUUCAUUUCUGUUUAUUUGAUGCCAUAAUUAUGAAUGAUUUUUAAACACUGAAAAUCUGAAUUAUAUA